AUGGGUAGCGGCGAAAUCUGUGGAGGAUCAGGUGGUGGGAAGCCCAGGCGGUGGCAUCUGAGUGGAGGUCAGCACACCCAGCAGACGUGCAGAAGCAUUGGACGAGAGGAGAGGAGCGAACUUGACGGGGUCGCCCCGCUCCCACAGAAGCACAGGGUGAAAGAUGACCCAUUAAACAGGCCAUAUUGUGGGUAUGAUGGCCAGCCAAUCCAGUGGGCCGUGCCAGGGGUGGUCAAGCUGGCUGACCUAUGUCGGAUCAGGGAAUACAUGCUGCUUCUGUUCGAGACACCCUCUGGCUUUGCAGUCUUCCUUUUUUGUGGGUCACUCAUUAACCCACCUAGAUCUCUGGAGGUUGUUUUGCUGAUGGAGUUCCAAACUUUUGAGGACAAGUCCAGUGCCAUUAAUCAGAACACUGGUGUCAGUGAAAGGCUUGCUGACAUGAUCAGGGCGUGGCUCCCUGGUAAGAAAAUGGCAGUCGGAAAGCCUGAAUAUAAGGAAAUCAUUGAAGAGAGAUUGGAAAUAGAAUGCCUGUAUAAUAAACGGGUGAUGGAGGUAAUGUGGGGCAUACAGAAUUGCAUGCCAGGUUUGAUACCUAUAGAAAAAUCACAGCUGGCUAAAGAGGACCGCCUCCCGAGUAAGGGAUUGCAAAAAUUCUUGAAGUGUUAUGACUGUAAUGUCAAACCAGAGAUGGUCAAUGAACAAAUUGUUGCGACGGCUUCCGCAUUGUCUGAGUGUGAUUCUGUUGAGAUGAAAUAUUCUGUAGUCAUGCGCGAAGCAGGUGCUGUCAUUAAGGAUGUGUCUGGCAUCAGCUGUGAGGGUUGGAGCUUACUGGACAUUGCAACAGCUCUGAAGAUGAUAUGGAAGCCUAAAAAAGUUGGCAAUUCUUCUCUGGUUUCAAAAGAUGAGGCACUAAGAUUGGUGAACGAUGCAUCUAAAUAUGAAGCUCUGGGUAUUAUUGAACAUAAGCUGAUCUUGGUUGACUUCAUUGCAGUCUCAGUCUGA
rnacentral:rRNA from 1 species